CAGGCAGGAAGAGAGGGUGUUUGUGCCAUUGCAGGGAGGUGACACAGGAAGUAGACUUAGUCAGAGUCAGCAGUUCAGUUCCCUGAUGAUGAGCUGUCAGUCGCCCAGGCGUCCUCACACGUGAUGGACUAAAGUGAUUUCUUGCCGCUCUCCAAGGUCAGAGGUGCGUCUAAAGAAUGCGUUUCCUCGCCGUGAGGAAAAAAACCAACAUUUCCAGCAGUGAAGACAAGGCCAGUUUGUUGUGUGUUCUUGGCAGUAUUACCCUGCUGAGUUGUUUUUCAACAUAAAAACAAAGUUUGACAGAUUUGUCACUGAUUUAGGCAAGUGAUUUUAGACAAGUGAAGAUUGAAGAGGCACCCCUUUGCUCAAUGCUGCUAAAAUCUGUUGCACAGGAACACAACAGCCACAACAUUAGGUGCACUUGCACAGUCUGAUAACCUGCAUCAAAAUGUUACACCCUUUAAGAAGAUACUAAUUCAGUCUUGAUUGUCUCUACAGACACUGCAGGUUUAUUAUUGCGGUUGUAGUUUGUAAUGGUGUACUGUGCAUGUAUGUGUCGCUGCUCCGUGUGUGUUAAGUAGCAUCUGUGCUAAUGUCCAUUAGCCCGUCUGUGGUAUUUCAUGUUAUGUUAGCAUUAAGUUUUUGUUAGACAAAAUGAUGUAGCCUGGUUGACUAUUUAAAUAUACAAUGUUUAAUUCUCGUUUUAUGUGUCACUUUUACAGUUACAUAACUUCAACUGUGAGUGACAAAUGAACCACUUGAAGCAAUUGCAAGAGAGAGAGAGAGAGAGAGAGAGAACGGGCACUGUGGAAUACUUCAAAAACUGUGUUUAAGAGUGUUUUAACAAGUAAAAAUGUUUAAAGUGUAUGAGCCGGGGGGGGGGGGGGGGGGGCUAUUCAAAAAAUGUCUUCUGUCUUUCAUAUUUUUUUUAAAAUGUAUUGUGUGAUUAUUGUGCAAACAACAACUACACAUUUUGCGGCACUAGAAGUAUUUUCUUUUCUUUUCUAAGGCAGAAUCUUUACAUUUUUACAGCUCUUGCAGUGGGUCUUAUUAGAGCAGGUGUUCCUAAUGAAGUGUCCCCUGAUGGAGCACAUUAACAUCUUAUAAUCUUCUGGUCAACGUGUUUUCUACUUUCUCUUGAAGUGAAGAACAUCAGUUGUAGUUGACCUCUCCCCUCUUUCCCAAAGAGGUAUAGCCUUAACGGAGCCUGCAUAUGUCUGUGUGUGUCCUCUGUGACACAAGGUUGACGUAAUUCACUUUCACCUGUACAUGUCAAUCAAUGAGACGCCACUCGCAUUGCCUGAGGCUCCAUGACCUUCUCCUCCUCUCCCUCUCGCUCAAAGGCCUUGAAAAGUCUUGACAUACUCCUUGUGAACAUUCCUCUCUUCUCAGGUCGCAGAGACCCACAAGAGGGAUAAUGGAGAGAUUGACAGAACACAAAGGAAUUGGAGAAGAGGCAUGGUGGUCUAGUCGCCAGACGAGGAACUGGAGAGGCUGCGACAGCUGUUGUCCAUUGCAGAUGUUUGCUGGCCUUUGUAGCAAAGGCUCUCUGCUGUCCUGUUCUUGGUUCCAUAUGACACAAUGCUGUCAAUAUUUCGUAUGCAAUGUAAUUAAACACAAUAAAGAGUUUCAAGGUU